rnacentral:rRNA from 1 species
UGGGGAAUUUUGGACAAUGGGCGAAAGCCUGAUCCAGCAAUGCCGCGUGCAGGAUGAAGGCCUUCGGGUUGUAAACUGCUUUUGUACGGAACGAAAAAGCUUCUCCUAAUACGAGAGGCCCAUGACGGUACCGUAAGAAUAAGCACCGGCUAACUACGUGCCAGCAGCCGCGGUAAUACGUAGGGUGCGAGCGUUAAUCGGAAUUACUGGGCGUAAAGCGUGCGCAGGCGGUUAUGUAAGACAGAUGUGAAAUCCCCGGGCUCAACCUGGGAACUGCAUUUGUGACUGCAUGGCUAGAGUACGGUAGAGGGGGAUGGAAUUCCGCGUGUAGCAGUGAAAUGCGUAGAUAUGCGGAGGAACACCGAUGGCGAAGGCAAUCCCCUGGACCUGUACUGACGCUCAUGCACGAAAGCGUGGGGAGCAAACAGGAUUAGAUACCCUGGUAGUCCACGCCCUAAACGAUGUCAACUAGUUGUUGGGGAUUCAUUUCCUUAGUAACGUAGCUAACGCGUGAAGUUGACCGCCUGGGGAGUACGGUCGCAAGAUU